rnacentral:lncRNA from 1 species
AUUUGCAUGAUAUUAGUUAUGAGGUAUUAUGUUUUAUCAUUUGCUGCAUCUUUUUUAUAUGAUUAUAAUAAAUUUUAUAGAUUAAGAUAAUGAUUUUAGGGCCAUGACGAGAUUAUACUAGUUAAAUCUAAAAUCUUCAUAGUCUCUAUUUAAAAUAUUUUCAAUCGAUAGAUCAUCGAGUUAGAGAUCGAUAACUCUGGUAAGACUGGUACAUCCUAUGUAUGCUCAAUUAAGAGGGUGGUUAGUCUCAUAACCACUUAUGUAGUGACACUAGUACAAGGAUGUAGGUCCUUAUU